rnacentral:rRNA from 1 species
CCUACGGGAGGCAGCAGUGGGGAAUAUUGCACAAUGGGGGAAACCCUGAUGCAGCGACGCCGCGUGAGUGAAGAAGCGUUUCGGCGCGUAAAGCUCUGUCAGCGGGGAAGAAACACGGUUCGCGAGAGCCGCGGACGGUACCCGACCAAGAAGCCCCGGCUAACUACGUGCCAGCAGCCGCGGUAAUACGGAGGGGGCAAGCGUUAUCCGGAUUCACUGGGGGUAAAGGGAGCGUAGACGGCGAGACAAGUCUGGAGUGAAAGGCCGGGGCCCAACCCCGGGACUGCUCUGGAAACUGCCUGGCUGGAGUACAGGAGAGGUAAGUGGAAUUCGUGGUGUAGCGGUGAAAUGCGUAGAUAUUAGGAGGAACACCAGUGGCGAAGGCGGUUUACUGGACUGUAACUGACGUUGAGGCUCGAAAGCGUGGGGAGCAAACAGGAUUAGAUACCCGGGUAGUC